GACUUUCCAGCAUGCAUACUAUGAGGCAAGAGGAAAGGGGGUCUUAUUUCGAGAGAGGAACUGAAAAGGAAUUGUCCAGGCCUCCAGCAAGCCACACAGCUCCCAGGAGCGCUGCUCGUGUGUGAGGCCGAGCCACAGGGCCAGGUGGGCAAGGAGGGAAUGGGAAGCAGAGAGACAGCUCUUAUGAAGAAGAGGAUACAUUAUGUCAGGAGGAAGUUGCCUUUGUUUGCCGUAGCAUGAAAGGGGAAGGACCACACAAAUUUGACAUAUGAAAUAUGGCUCUGUGAACACAAUAACUGCAGCGUAUGUGG